AGUGGAUUCACUUCUUUAUCAGCCCACACUUACUCUUCCAAGGAGUGGUUGGAUAACACGCUGGGAGAUUCCUCCUGGUGCAGCAGGAGUCCUCCAGCACUUCCAACCUGCAGCAGAAACACCAGAGUAAGGAAUCCUGUAUCCUUGAAUUCAUGCAGUCUGUAUUUGACUAUCAGGACAUCAAGUAUCUCAGCUGUGCUGAACUGAUGCUCUUCUCCACUCCAUGUCUGAAAUCCUGAAGGUCAAGCUCUUUGCCUGAAGACGACUCCUCACCAUUCCACACUCAGACUCGAUAUAAGAGGGAAGAGGCCAGGGGAAAUGGAAAUCACAUGGAGUUACGUUUUCCUAUUCAGCGGAAGGGAGCAGGAACGCUCCUCACGAGCUUUACCAAGCGAGACAGGCGGCAAGCAUCUUUCAGGCAUUCCCAAGCUCGCCCCAAUUUGUGGAGACAGCCCUGGUACCAAAGCAUUUUCUGAGGACAACAGCUCCGGGUGCAGCUGUACCAGCCCUGCCGCUGAUAUAUCCAUUAAAAAGAGAAGCAUGUAAAAAUCCAGAUUUGAAAUUCAAUAAGGAAUUCAGAGAAAAGUCUUGCUUUCAGGCCAUCUCCUCGCUAAAUGAAUAAAUGAAUAGGCAAACUAUUGCAUAAAGAAAAAGAUGUCAAAAGCACCCAAAGGAAGCUGUGCUCACUAAUGUCUGAAAAUAGCCCCGUCUGGAAAGGUAUGCUUUUAGACUAAGAAAGCAGAAAAAAACUAAUUAGACAAGAAGUAACCGUGAACAAACAUGUUAGCAGAACCAAUAACUGGAACUGAUCAGCUAUUUCUCUAAUUGUACCAGCUGGACAGCUCUGAUGCGCCUAGCAGAGCAUAAUUACUGAUUUCUAUUCCACACCCCAACCCUUUUUCUUUCCUCUCCCUUUUGCAGAAAUAUCCAAGCAUAUGCCACUUAAUAAAAUAAUAAUAACA